GGUAAACGAUUCGACCUGAGCCGAGACGUACAGGCCCUUCGUUCUCGCACAGUCCGCUCCUUCUCGAACCCUCACGCCGCCGCCGCCGCCAGUAGCGUCGCCACGCCCGCUUCCCCCCGUCGCCGGCGGGUCCUGUCCUCCGCGUACAGAUCCGGCCAUCCCAGCCUCGUUCCCGCCGUAUCCCUUCGACAGCGCAGCUACUCCCGUCGCCAGCGUGGAGCAGCGACCCCAUGGCAAGGACGAGCUCCCCCGGACGCCAUUGACCCCGAGACAACCGCGGGAGCCAGGAGCAGCGACCCGACGACCGAGCCCCCUUGCCAAUCCCCAAGGAUGGUGUGCCCAAACUGCCAUUCGCAUUUCGAGAGUGACAACGAGCAGAGAUUUUUUGGAGUUGUCAUUCGUGAGGGCUCCAAAGCCACCCUCACCAACAGUGAACAUCCCGUGCACAGCCAGUUGAUAUGCCGUCGUUGCAAGUCUAUCAUUGACACACAACUGGUUUUUUUUUCGCUACAAGGCGUUGUCUUAGCUGCAAGUCCACCAUCAACACACAGCUGUGGGCUUCCUACACAACGGCGCUCCCAGUUUGCACGUCCAUCAUUGACAUGCAAUUGUGGGUUUUCUUUCUAGUUGUUUUUACUCUAGUUGCAAGUCUAUCAUUGACACACACUAGGAUCUUUUUUGUAGUUAUUUUUGCAAGUUGACCCUCGACUCGCAAGGUUUUUUGUGUAGUUUUUUCCACAUCACUUGCAAGUCGACCCUCAACUUGCAACUGGGUUUCAUGUAGUUGUAAUCGACCCAGUUGCAAGUGCACCAUCAACUCGCAACUCGGACCUGUGGUUCUUUGUUUCAUGCCACAUGCAAGUCGAUCCUCGACUCGCAACUAGUUUUUUUUGUAGCCGUAGUCACCCCAGUUGCAAGUCGGCCAUCAACUCGCAACUAGGCUUGUACUUUUUUGUUUCAUGCCACUUGCAAGUCGACCCUCGAUGCGCAAUUGAGGUUUUGUGUAGUUGUAAUCGCCCUAGUUCCAAGUGCAUCAUCGAGUCUCAACUCGGCCUGUACUUUUUUUGUUUCAUUCCACUUGCAAGUUGACCUUCGACUCGCAAUUGGAAUAUUUUGUGUAGUUGUAGUCACACUAGUUACAUGUCCACCAUCGACUCGCAACUCGGCUCGUGGUUUUUUUUUUCACGUCACUUGCAAGUCGACCCUCGACUUACAACUGGGGUUUAAUGUAGUUGUAAUCGCCCCAGUUGCAAGUCCACCAUCGACUCGCAACUCGGACCGUAGUUCUCGUUUCAUGCCACUUGCAAGAUGCCCACUAACUCACAACUUGGGUUAUUUCUGUAGUUGUAGUCACGCCAGUUGCAAGUCCACCAUUCACUCGCAACUCGGCUCGUAGUAUUUUGUUUUACAUCACUUGCAAGUCGACCCUUGACUUGCAACUGGGGUUUCCAUGUAGUUGUAAUCGCCCCAGUUGCAAGUCCACCAUCGACUCGCAACUCGGCCUGUACUUUUUUGUUUCAUGUCACUUGCAAGUUGACCUUCGACUCGCAACCAGGGUUUAUUUGUGUAGUUGUAGUCACCGCAGUUGCAUGUCCACUAUCAACUCGCAACUCGGCCUGUACUUUUUGUUUCUUGCCAUUUGCAAGUUGACCCUCGACUCACAACUGUUUUUUUUUGCGUAGUUGUAGUUACGCCAGUUGCAAGUUGACCAUCGACUUGCAACUCUGCUCGUAGUUUUUUGUUUCACGUCACUUGCAAGUUGAUGGAUCGACUUGCAACUGGGGUUUCUAUGUAGUUGUAAUUGUCCUAGUUGCAAGUCCACCAUCGACUCGCAACUCGGACCCGUAAUUCUUGUUUCAGGCCCAAUUGCAAGUCGCCAUUUGACUUGCAAACUGGGUUUUUUGUAUAGUUGUAGUCAUGCCAAUUGCAAGUCUAUCAAUGACUCACAACUCAGCUCGUAGUUUUUGUUUCACGCCACUUGCAAGUCAACCCUCGACUUGCAACUGGGUUUUUUAUAUAGUUUUAAUCGCCCUAGUUGCAAGUCUACCAUCUACUCGCAACUCGGACCCGUAGUUCUUUGUUUCAUGUCACUUGCAAGUCGACCCUCGACUCUCAACUAGGUUUUUUUGUAGUCGUAGUCACCCUAGUUGCAAGUGCACCAUCGACUCCCAACUCGGCUUGUACUUUUUUGUUUCAUGCCACUUGCAAGUUGACCCUCGACUUGCAAUUGGGGUAUUUUUUGUAGUUGUAGUCAUGCCCUGUUGCAAGUCCACCAUCAACUCGCAACUCGGCUUGUAGUUUUUGUUUCACGUCACUUGCAAGUCGACCCUCGACUUACAACUGAGGUUUAAUGUAGUUUAUAAUCACCCCAGUUGCAUGUCUACCAUCGACUCGGACCCGUAGUUACAUGCCACUUGCAAGUCACCCUUUGACUUGCAAACUCGGUUUUUUGUGUAGUUGUAGUCACGCCAGUUGCAAGUCCACCAACGACUCGCAACUCGACUCGUAGUUUUUGUUUCACGCCACUUGCAAGUCAACCCUCGACUUGCAACUGGGGUUUUCAUGUAGUUGUAAUCGCCCAGUCGCAAGUCCACCAUCGACUCGCAACUCGGACCCAUAGUUCUUUGUUUCAUGCUACUUGCAAGUCGACCCCCAACUCGUAACUGGUUUUUAGUAGUCAAAGUCGCCCUAGUUGCAAGUCGACCAUCAACUCGCAAGGCUUAUACUUUUUGUUUCGUGCCACUUGCAAGUCAACCCUCGAUGCGUUAUUGGGGUUAUUGUGUAGUUGUAAUCGCCCCAGUUGCAAGUACACCAUCGACUCGCAACUCGGCCCUAUACUUUUUUGUUUCGUGCCACUUGCAAGUUGACCUUCGCCUCGCGAUUGUUUUUUUUGUAGUUGUAGUAACGCCAGUUGCAAGUCCAUCAUCGACUCGCAACUCGGCUCGUAGUUUUUUUUUUCACGUCACUUGCAAGUCGACCCUCGACUUGGGGGCAAAAUGUUGAGAUAGAUGGGGUUCAUAUCUACUUGAUACAGAGAGGAUACAAUUUAUAAUUUUUUCCCAAGCACUUUACUCAUUUUAUUUGGUCCAAAAGAAUAACCGACUUAAAUCUUUGUUUCUACUGGACAAAAGGGAUAGCAUGUUAACCACCAACUGAAAUUUAUUUGUUAGUCAGUAAGAGGAUUUGAUGGUGUUGCAAACUCAUGACCCUGAGAGGCGAAUGAGUAAGGUGGAAUCAACUGCAGAAAUUGUUGUCCAUUGUUUUGCAUUUGAAAAAGCCUCAGGUCAAACACCACUGCUGGGUACUGGGAUGCACAGGCUACAAUCAAAACAAAGCAGUAAGUUCAUCUCAUGUUUUUUCCUGUCAUUUUUGUUUUUAUGGUCCCAUGUGUAUUUAUGAAUCAAUAUUUAUUUAUUUUUCUUUUUUCCCAAAUCAUACCUGAGUGCCAACGUAGUCCCCUGCAUAGCUAUCUUCAUUUCCCGCGGUCAUCAGUUUUUACAAAAUUUAACAUUAUGCUUUUCUUCGCCUAAAGAUUUUAUGGAAUGGAGGAGCACACCCCUAAGUCUUUUUCUUAGGGGCAACAUGGUAACAUUUGUCAUAUGUUGUUUUCUUUCUUAUCAGGUGCCAACACUUCUUUUGUGAACAUGCAUAAUACACUGAGAUGCAGUCAAAUUCUAAGUUCUUCUUUCUUAGAUGAAAAAUUCUAAAUUCAGAGUCAGCACUUUUUAUUUUGUUCUCUAACAAGGUAAUGAUGCAUCUUUUCCUCUUUCUUUUCCCUAGUGAGGCCAAAUAUAUUUUCUUGAUCAGGUUGUAUAUAGAAAUGUAGUUACAGUUUUUUUUGGAAAGGCAAUGUUUUUUGCUGAAUAAAUGGGAACAAAUGCCAUCUGAAAGUUGUUGCACGCAAACUGGAACAAGGAGGUGUUUUUGUUCUGAUCUUUCAGUUAGCACAUGUAUGAAGCUCAACCCAUCUGAAACAAACAAGCUAUCUGGCAUGUAAAAGAUAGUGAUAUGCAGUUUUUCUCUGACCAGUUUCUAAGGCUAGAUCAGUUUUCUGAGCCUAGAUCACACUGACAUGCACUUUAUUUAGGCGCAACAACACAAUGUUGUCUGUGUGUUCAUGUAGAUAUGGUCUGCUUAGAAAGACUUUGCUCUGAUUUUUUUGACGACAAAAAACUGUUUAACUGUUGUGUGUUUUUUCCAGAGACCAGGACCAAAUGUUUGAUGGAAAAAGAAAGGAUAAUCAUGAGCAAAAAAUAAAGAUCUACCAUCAGAAAUUAUCUAGAAGGUUGUACACGAUCUUGCCAGAAAGGAUCUACAAGGAGAGGCCAAAUUUUGUACUUGGGUUUUCGCAACUUUUCGUCAGCCACCUAAGCUUCUUUUGCAACUGUUUUUUUUUUUCUGCCAACAAGGCCCAGGUCUGUGCGCACAUGUUGCUCUUUUUUUUUGUCAAACAAACAAAUAGACAAAUAAAGCCCAACAAACAAGGUCCAGGGGCAGGGGGUAGUUCGGCUGGGUGGGGUGGACUGGCCAGACACAAACAAACAAUACAAACAAGCGUCUAUGUGUGUGAGGGUGAUCGGGUGCAACCAGGCUGGUUGUUUGAUUAGAGGAUGAUGUCAGCUUAGUCUCACAUCUAGAUGCAACAUAGACAGACCCUAUUCAGGACCUCUUAACUGGCUUUAUCCUCUCUUUUAACCUGUCAAUUAUUUCCGUCUCGGUGUUUAAUUCUGUCUCAUUGGGUUGGAACUGCAGGAGCCAUGCCCUUGAUUCUUGCUCCGAAAGUGGACCUGGAGAAAUUACAGGUUCGACGAUUAUCUAGACAAAUUCAAGACAAGUAAUUCGGAACGGAGGGAGUAUUACUUAGUGCGUUUGGUCAUGGUACUGUUUCCCCAAAGGUGCACAGCAUGUUGUGUGGUGGAUAGGGGAAGCUGAGGCGACGACUGGCGACUGUUCUCUUUACAACUGGCGUGGUUGAGAGGCUAGGGAGUAGGUCAUUUUGCUAUUUGGUCAGCGAUGGAGAUGAAUUCGGGAGAGAUGUGGCUGGGAGUUGUACCGGUCAUUUUUCUGUCUCUAUAUUAUCCAUUUGCACUAAUCGGUAACAGUUUUUUGAGCAGGCAAUAGUGUAGCAUGCAUGAACAGAAAAAUUGUAUAAGGCGAGGAGGACAAUCUGAGCGACCAACAUUAUGUUUUUUUACAGAACGACCAACAUUAUGUUUUUUUACAGAACGACCAACAUUAUGUUGAGUAUUGAGAUGUAGGUAAGGCACGUAUAAUCUGAAUUGAGCCAUAUGGAGGGCAUGUAUAGUCUGUAUGUGCAGUCUUAAUUGUAUGUUGAA